GCCCAAGUGGCGGAAUGGUAGACGCAGGGGAUUCAAAAUCCCCCGCCUUAACGGGCGUGCCGGUUCGAGUCCGGCCUUGGGUACCA
rnacentral:tRNA from 22 species